CAGUCGCCGCGGUAAUACGUAGGGUGCAAGCGUUAAUCGGAAUUACUGGGCGUAAAGCGUGCGCAGGCGGUUAAAUAAGUCAGAUGUGAAAUCCCCGGGCUCAACAUGGGAACUGCAUUUGAGACUGUAUGGCUAGAGUGUGUCAGAGGGGGGUAGAAUUCCACGUGUAGCAGUGAAAUGCGUAGAUAUGUGGAGGAAUACCGAUGGCGAAGGCAGCCCCCUGGGAUAACACUGACGCUCAUGCACGAAAGCGUGGGGAGCAAACAGGAUUAGAGACCCCUGUAGUCCCUGUCUCUUAUAU
rnacentral:rRNA from 1 species